GCUAGCAACGAUAAUAAGGAAGUGUGUUGCAUAUGGCUGUUUUGCGUCAAACGUACAUGAAUGGCUGAAACAUGAACGGAUAGGCAGGUUAUGGACCAGGUUUGUGAAGACAAAAGUGAGCACAUUGGACUUACAAAUCAAAGCGGACAGUAAUAUGUUCCAAGCAUUUCACAGAGGACUGCUUUGAAAACCCAGUACAGCAGUCACUGGGCUUCGGUACCAAGGGGUGACGAAAUUUGGACACUGUAUAAAGUUAGUGCGCUGUUGACGCUGAGGUCUUCCUGAAAUUCGACUAUGAUGGUGUCGCCAAAUCCUGUCCUUGUGUUGCAUUCGACGCUCAGACAGUCCCACCGGUUCGAAGAUAUAUGGGUGAAUUACAGCUGCAUGGGAUGUUUUUCCGAACAUGCAACCUUCAGAGACAAACCCUGGCACUUACUCCCCUUCUUGCUCAGAGCCUUUAUCCGGUUGCAGCUUAUAGGAAAAAAAAAUGAGGACCACAAAGCAGAAUACCCAGCUCCUGUGGCUAUCAAGGAACCACUGUUGUUUACUCAGCACAAAUCAUGCGGUGGCUGCGGUGCUCCAAAGAAACUGAGGGACCAUCAAUGAUUUCUGGCAGAUCUCAUUUUUGAGAAAAAGGUCUGCUGUCUGACUAAUCCAGAUCAUCUUUCUUUUUCUCAUCUGUCUUUUUGACCUUAUUCAACUCAAAACCUCCAAAUGAAAUAAAGGACAUAAAGUUCACGUCUCAGUUUUUUAUGGAUUAAUUCUACCAUCCCAGGGGAAAAGUGAGAAAAUGAGAAGCAUUGUAUUGUGUCCUGCCUUCACAAAAAUAAACGUGCACUUAACCACUCAUUACAGUUCAUGAGGGAAGGACUUCUAUUACAUGAAACCUCAAAGCAUCUCUUGCUGAAUACGGAUACUGUGAUAAACGCAUUCAUGGUAGCACUAUCUUGAAGGCAGUCACUGCCUGUGACCAGUGGUGACUCAUUAAUUUCGGUAUAAGUGCAUAGAGCAGGGCUCAACAACCUUUUUGAGGCUGAGGGCUACUUCGUGAGCACCGAUCGUAUGAAGGGCUACGUGACUUGUUGGAAGCAAACUUCAGACUCAGUUCAUAACACCUACAUAAAAUAUUUGUGUUUUAAUUUAUUGGCAUCAGUACUGAUCAUCAGCAGGUGGG